rnacentral:rRNA from 1 species
UGGGGGAUAUUGCACAAUGGGCGAAAGCCUGAUGCAGCGACGCCGCGUGGGGGAUGAAGGCCUUCGGGUUGUAAACUGCUUUUGCUCUGAACAAGGCAUGCCUUUGGGGAGGGUUGAGUGUAGGGGUUGAUUAGCGCCGGCUAACUACGUGCCAGCAGCCGCGGUAAUACGUAGGGCGCGAGCGUUGUCCGGAAUUAUUGGGCGUAAAGGGCUUGUAGGUGGCUGGUUGCGUCUGUCGUGAAAGCUCAUGGCUUAACUGUGGGUUUGCGGUGGGUACGGGCUGGCUUGAGUGCAGUAGGGGGGGCUGGAAUUCCUGGUGUAGCGGUGGAAUGCGCAGAUAUCAGGAGGAAUACCGGUGGCGAAGGCGGGUCUCUGGGCUGUUACUGACGCUGAGGAGCGAAAGCGUGGGGAGCGAACAGG